rnacentral:rRNA from 1 species
AGAGUUUGAUCCUGGCUCAGGACGAACGCUGGCGGCGUGCUUAAUACAUGCAAGUCGAGCGAGGUUACUGUUUCGGAUCCCUUCGGGGUGAAGAAGCUUUAACCUAGCGGCGGACGGGUGAGUAACGCGUGGGUAACCUACCCCAAAGUCCGGGAUAACAGCGGGAAACCGCUGCUAAUACCGGAUGUCUUUACCUUGGGGCAUCUUGAGGUAAAGAAAGGUAACGCUUUGGGAUGGGCCCGCGUCCCAUUAGCUAGUUGGUGAGGUAACGGCUCACCAAGGCGACGAUGGGUAGCCGGCCUGAGAGGGUGGACGGCCACACUGGGACUGAGACACGGCCCAGACUCCUACGGGAGGCAGCAGUAGGGAAUAUUGCGCAAUGGACGGAAGUCUGACGCAGCGACGCCGCGUGAGCGAUGAAGGUCUUCGGAUCGUAAAGCUCUGUCCUUGGGGAAGAAGGUCUUCGGACUUGACGGUACCCAAGAAGAAAGCCCCGGCUAACUACGUGCCAGCAGCCGCGGUAAUACGUAGGGGGCGAGCGUUGUCCGGAAUUACUGGGCGUAAAGGGUGCGUAGGCGGCCCUUUAAGUCGGAUGUGAAAGCCCGCGGCUUAACCGCGGAAUGGCAUUCGAAACUGGAGGGCUUGAGUGUCGGAGAGGGUAGUGGAAUUCCCAGUGUAGCGGUGAAAUGCGUAGAUAUUGGGAGGAACACCAGUGGCGAAGGCGACUACCUGGACGAUAACUGACGCUGAGGCACGAAAGCUAGGGGAGCAAACAGGAUUAGAUACCCUGGUAGUCCUAGCCGUAAACGAUGGGUACUAGUGUGGGUGGUUUCGAUACCAUCCGUGCCGUAGUUAACGCAUUAAUACCCCGCCUGGGGAGUACGUGCGCAAGCAUGAAACUCAAGGAAUUGACGG